rnacentral:rRNA from 1 species
AUUGAACGCUGGCGGCAUGCCUUACACAUGCAAGUCGAACGGCAGCACGGGUGCUUGCACCUGGUGGCGAGUGGCGAACGGGUGAGUAAUAUAUCGGAACGUACCUUAUUGUGGGGGAUAACGCAGCGAAAGCUGUGCUACUACCGCAUACUCCCCAAGGGGGAAAGCGGGGGACCGUAAGGUCUCGCGAACUGAGAGCGGCCGAUACCUGAUUAGCUAGUUGGUGAGGUAAAGGCUCACCAAGGCAACGAUCAGUAGCUGGUCUGUGAGGACGAUCAGCCAUACUGGGACUGAGACACGGCCGAGACUCCUACGGGAGGCAGCAGUGGGGAAUUUUGGACAAUGGGGGCAACCCUGAUCCAGCAAUGCCGCGUGAGUGAAGAGGGCCUUCGGGUUGUAAAGCUCUUUUGUCAGGGAAGAAACAGCAGCUCUAACACAGUAUGCGAAUGACGGUACCUGAAGAAUAAGCACCGGCUAACUACGUGCCAGCAGCCGCGGUAA